UGGAGAGUUUGAUCCUGGCUCAGGACGAACGCUGGCGGCGUGCCUAAUACAUGCAAGUCGAGCGGACUUGAUGGAGUGCUUGCACUCCUGAUGGUUAGCGGCGGACGGGUGAGUAACACGUAGGUAACCUGCCCAUAAGACUGGGAUAACCCACGGAAACGUGAGCUAAUACCAGAUAGGCAUUUUCCUCGCAUGAGGGAAAUGAGAAAGGCGGAGCAAUCUGUCACUUAUGGAUGGACCUGCGGCGCAUUAGCUAGUUGGUGAGGUAACGGCUCACCAAGGCGACGAUGCGUAGCCGACCUGAGAGGGUGAUCGGCCACACUGGGACUGAGACACGGCCCAGACUCCUACGGGAGGCAGCAGUAGGGAAUCUUCCGCAAUGGACGAAAGUCUGACGGAGCAACGCCGCGUGAGUGAUGAAGGUUUUCGGAUCGUAAAGCUCUGUUGCCAGGGAAGAACGCCUAGGAGAGUAACUGCUCUUAGGGUGACGGUACCUGAGAAGAAAGCCCCGGCUAACUACGUGCCAGCAGCCGCGGG
rnacentral:rRNA from 1 species